rnacentral:rRNA from 1 species
AAGCGCUUGCGACCAGACUUGCACCGGGCCGAUCCCCUGUCGUUAUCGGCUGUGCACUCGGCUCGGCGCAGGCCAGCAUCGGUUCUCGCGGGGGGACAAAGGCGGCGGGAACGUGACUCCUCCGGGAGUGUUAUAGCCCGCCGUGAAAUACCCCCGUGGGGACCGAGGACCGCGGUACGAGGAUGCUGGCGUAAUGGUCAUCAGCGA